rnacentral:other from 1 species
CAGUACCUGCCGGGUGAAAAAAAAAAAAAAAAGGUUUAAUCCCUAAGCAUUAAACCCGGGUAUCGCGAGGGUCUAUGGUGUGCCAGCCUAUUCGAUUAGGACGCCUGAAGUAGGCUCAGCGACUCCCACCUUUUUAGGGAAGGGUUUAAACGCAUUCUUCCAAGACCGGCUCGGCGGGGAACUU